rnacentral:rRNA from 1 species
UACGUAGGGUGCAAGCGUUAAUCGGAAUUACUGGGCGUAAAGCGUGCGCAGGCGGCUUUGCAAGACAGAUGUGAAAUCCCCGGGCUCAACCUGGGGAACUGCAUUUGUGACUGCAUGGCUAGAGUGCGGCAGAGGGGGAUGGAAUUCCGCGUGUAGCAGUGAAAUGCGUAGAUAUGCGGAGGAACACCGAUGGCGAAGGCAAUCCCCUGGGCCUGCAC